rnacentral:rRNA from 1 species
GACGAACGCUGGCGGCGUGCCUAAUACAUGCAAGUCGAGCGCAGGAAACUGACGGAACUCUACGGAGGGAAGGCAGCGGAAUGAGCGGCGGACGGGUGAGUAACACGUAAGGAACCUGCCUUAAGGAUUGGGAUAACUCCGAGAAAUCGGAGCUAAUACCGGAUAGUUCAUCGGACCGCAUGGUCCGUUGAUGAAAGGCGCUUCGGCGUCACCUUGAGAUGGCCUUGCGGUGCAUUAGCUAGUUGGUGGGGUAACGGCCCACCAAGGCGACGAUGCAUAGCCGACCUGAGAGGGUGAUCGGCCACACUGGGACUGAGACACGGCCCAGACUCCUACGGGAGGCAGCAGUAGGGAAUCUUCCACAAUGGACGAAAGUCUGAUGGAGCAACGCCGCGUGAGUGAUGAAGGUUUUCGGAUCGUAAAACUCUGUUGUAAGGGAAGAACACGUACGAGAGGAAAUGCUCGUACCUUGACGGUACCUUACGAGAAAGCCACGGCUAACUACGUGCCAGCCGCCGCCGUAAUAC